rnacentral:lncRNA from 1 species
AUACGAUGCAUGCCAUAAUUAGAUAUGCAAAAUUUUUGAAACAAAGACUAUAAAACUCAACACUAAUCUACCCAUAAAAGAUUAACCCAUAAAUUAAUUUUUUAACUAACCUAACUUAAGCCUUUUCUUUUAUUUAGAAAAGCAUUAUAAUUAAUUUCUAAUCUGAAAAACUUAAUUCCUAUGGAUUAAUAAGUAUUUGUGAAUAAUAAAACAUUAUUCAAAAUUUUAUACAUUUCAUAAAGAUUAAGUAUUUAAUUAAAUACCUGAAUUAAAGACACUAAAUAAAUACUCAAUUUUUAUUACCUUAUCCUAGGGUUUUAGAAUUUUUAAUGCAUAAAGGAAAAUAAAAUACACCUAAUAAAAUUGGUUUCAUUAAAUUUGGAGAAUUCUACAAACUAUAAUGAAUUGAAUAUGAAAACAAAAUUUAAAUCUAUUUUCUAAAACUAUAAAUCAAUUUCCUUCUGGAACCUUUCUCACUCACCCCCGCCCUAACUCCUCUCGCUGACACGGGGCCCGAUCAACAGACCGCCCUCUUGGCUUUGACCGCGGGUUUGUUGGCGGGUAACCGCAGUGGCUCAUCGCCGGCGAGGCCCCCGGCGAUGGGAACACCACUACUCAACUCGCACGAACCUAGCGCACCUAUUGUAACAACUCUACCUAAAUUAAGUGCUUUUAACUAUAAACCAGUGGUUAAUCCCUAAUUAAAGAGGUGAAAUGACC